GAUGAACGCUAGCGAUAGGCUUAACACAUGCAAGUCGAGGGGCAGCAUGAUCUUAGCUUGCUAAGGUCGAUGGCGACCGGCGCACGGGUGCGUAACGCGUAUGCAACUUGCCUUACAGAGGGGGAUAACCCGUUGAAAGACGGACUAAAACCGCAUACACUUGUAUUAUUGCAUGAUAUUACAAGGAAAUAUUUAUAGCUGUAAGAUAGGCAUGCGUCCCAUUAGCUAGUUGGUGAGGUAACGGCUCACCAAGGCAACGAUGGGUAGGGGAACUGAGAGGUUUAUCCCCCACACUGGUACUGAGACACGGACCAGACUCCUACGGGAGGCAGCAGUGAGGAAUAUUGGUCAAUGGGCGAGAGCCUGAACCAGCCAAGUCGCGUGAAGGAAGACAGUCCUAAGGAUUGUAAACUUCUUUUAUACGGGAAUAACGGGCGAUACGAGUAUUGCAUUGAAUGUACCGUAAGAAUAAGCAUCGGCUAACUCCGUGCCAGCAGCCGCGGUAAUACGGAGGAUGCGAGCGUUAUCCGGAUUUAUUGGGUUUAAAGGGUGCGUAGGUUGUUCGGUAAGUCAGCGGUGAAACCUGAGCGCUCAACGUUCAGCCUGCCGUUGAAACUGCCGGGCUUGAGUUCAGUGGCGGCAGGCGGAAUUCGUGGUGUAGCGGUGAAAUGCAUAGAUAUCACGAGGAACUCCGAUUGCGAAGGCAGCUUGCCAUACUGCGACUGACACUGAAGCACGAAGGCGUGGGUAUCAAACAGGAUUAGAUACCCUGGUAGUCCACGCAGUAAACGAUGAUUACUAGGAGUUUGCGAUAUACCGUCAAGCUUCCACAGCGAAAGCGUUAAGUAAUCCACCUGGGGAGUACGCCGGCAACGGUGAAACUCAAAGGAAUUGACGGGGGCCCGCACAAGCGGAGGAACAUGUGGUUUAAUUCGAUGAUACGCGAGGAACCUUACCCGGGAUUGAAAUGUAGAUGACGGAUGGUGAAAACCG
rnacentral:rRNA from 1 species